UACCCUGGGGAUAACAGGCUGAUCUCCCCCAAGAGUCCACAUCGACGGGGAGGUUUGGCACCUCGAUGUCGGCUCAUCGCAUCCUGGGGCUGUAGUCGGUCCCAAGGGUUGGGCUGUUCGCCCAUUAAAGCGGUACGCGAGCUGGGUUCAGAACGUCGUGAGACAGUUCGGUCCCUAUCCGUCGCGGGCGCAGGAAAUUUGAGAGGAGCUGUCCUUAGUACGAGAGGACCGGGAUGGACGCACCGCUGGUGUACCAGUUGUCUUGCCAAAGGCAUCGCUGGGUAGCUAUGUGCGGAAGGGAUAAGUGCUGAAAGCAUCUAAGCAUGAAGCCCCCCUCAAGAUGAGAUUUCCCACAGUUU
rnacentral:rRNA from 2 species